rnacentral:rRNA from 1 species
UCGGAGGGAAUUUGAAAUGACUGAGCGGCGGACGGGUGAGUAACGCGGGGGUAACCUGCCUCAUACAGGGGGAUAACAGUUAGAAAUGACUGCUAAUACCGCAUAAGCACACAGUACCGCAUGGUACGGUGUGAAAAACUCCGGUGGUAUGAGAUGGACCCGCGUCUGAUUAGCUGGUUGGCGGGGUAACGGCCCACCAAGGCGACGAUCAGUAGCCGACCCGAGAGGGUGACCGGCCACAUUGGGACUGAGACACGGCCCAAACUCCUACGGGAGGCAGCAGUGGGGAAUAUUGCACAAUGGGGGAAACCCUGAUGCAGCAACGCCGCGUGAGUGAAGAAGUAUUUCGGUAUGUAAAGCUCUAUCAGCAGGGAAGAAAGUGACGGUACCUGACUAAGAAGCCCCGGCUAACUACGUGCCAGCAGCCGCGGUAAUACGUAGGGGGCAAGCGUUAUCCGGAUUUACUGGGUGUAAAGGGAGCGUAGACGGCACAGCAAGUCUGAAGUGAAAUCCCCGGGCUCAACCCGGGAACUGCUUUGGAAACUGUUGGGCUGGAGUGCUGGAGAGGCAAGCGGAAUUCCUAGUGUAGCGGUGAAAUGCGUAGAUAUUAGGAGGAACACCAGUGGCGAAGGCGGCUUGCUGGACAGUAACUGACGUUGAGGCUCGAAAGCGUGGGGAGCAAACAGGAUUAGAUACCCUGGUAGUCCACGCCGUAAACGAUGCAUACUAGGUGUCGGGGAGCAAAGCUUUCCGGUGC